UUUAUGUUAACCCUUCCAAUGGAGUUAGGGAUGUGAAUUUGCAUCCUUAAGCAGAGAACUGCGUAGGAACAAUCACAUUGGAAGCCCUUAUAGACAAGCAGUUCUUUUCAUGUUGGGACAAAGACAAAGACAAAGACAAAGACAAAGACAAAGACAAAGACUAGGAAGAAAGUCCUCCGGUGGUAGCUCGAAGAUGGGGAUUAUACCUUCGACUGUGGUGAGACUAUUCCUGAGCAGCUUACAAAAAUAUCCUUUUUAUGUGUAUAUAUACAAGUAAUUUAUGUUAUUUUGUUUGAAGAUGCGAAGGUCUGAAUUAUGAAGAUACUGAUUCUAAAAAAAUAGAUUACAAAAAAAGUCCAAAUACUAGAUGUUAAAGUUGUCUAAAAAGAUGGAUGACUAUAAAUGGGAAGUGAGUUCUUAUUUUGCAAGUUGGGGAAGAUUUUAAAGAGACAAUAAUGACAUAUGUUGUUCAUUCCGGUAUGAGCUUAACAAUGAUCAAGAAUGAUAAAACAAGAGUACGAGUUGUUUGCAAAAAAGGUUUCCAAAUGAAGAAACACGGCCAAUAAAGACUUUGGUUGAUGAGCAUUUUUGUAGCAGAUACAAUAAGUGUGUAGGGUUUGGUACCACCAUUGAUGAAUUGUUACUAGGAGUUGACAAAAGAUUAUGUGUUGGGCACUUGUACAAUAACUUUAGAAAGAAGCAUCCUGGAGUGAAAUUGAAGCGAAUGAUGUGAAGGGCUGCCAAAUCUACUUACCCAUAAGCUUGAGAAAGAGAAAUGAAUGAAAUUAGAAAAGUUAAUGAAGAGACAUAUAAGUAUGAGAACCACAUAUAAGUAUGUCAAACAUGAUUUAUAAAUAUGUCGGUUUUGGAAUUUCUGUUUGACAAGUACCUAAUCCAAAUACCAUCAAGGUGUUGGAGUAAAUCAAGGUUCCAAACUCCCACAAUGUAUGAUAUUAUGUUCAAUAAUAUGUGUGAGACUUUUAAUGGUGUGAUAGUUGGUCCGAGACAAAAACCAAUUAUCACAAUAAUUGAAGAGAUAAGAAUAUAUCUCAGGGAAAUGUUGUUUGCCAAUAGAGAAAAAAUUGCAAUAUUUGAAUGAAGUAUAUUGUCAAAGAUAAAGAGAAGACGUGAGAUUGAAUCGGCAGCAAUAAACAGCUGGAUGUUUAUUUGAUUGGGGAAAAUUGGUUUGAAACCACACACAUGAACUUCAUCAUUAAUAAGUACACAAUUAACCUUGAAACCAGAUAGUGUACCUGCAGAAAGUGAAUGUAUGUAAAAUGUAGAAGGUGUGGACAAGAAGGACAUAAUAGGAAGGCGUGCAAUUCAAACCACACAAUGCCACAUGUUUAGAGGAAAACAAAUUUAAUCAAGAAGCCAAAUACAAAUGCAACCAGUGCAAGUAAGGUCAAGACCCAAAAUGCAAAUGCAACUAGUGUUUAUCAAGUCUAAAUCCAAAAUGCAAAUAAGAGUUAAAGUGCAGGUCAACAGCAGAAUGGAAGUCAACAGAAGAGUGGAAGUCAACAGUAGAGGUAAACAACCUAAAUGCAAUGAUUUAUUGAACUUGAAUAAUAUGCUAUUUUGUUUGUAAUGAACUUGUUUGGUUGUUUACUUGUUCUGUUUUGAGUAUGUUGAAGUAGAAGAACAUGUGAUUUGAAGUUGAUGUAUGUUGAACUUAAAAUCUUAUUUUGAGUAUUUUGAAGUAUUUCGAAGUAAAAAUGACACUUCAUAUUCAUUUUCUGUUGAAAUUAUAAUGACAAUUAUGUUGAAGUUGUAAUGACAAGAUUAUGCUGAAGUUUUAAUGGCAUGUUAAUGUUCAAUUUUUGUUGAAAUUGUAAUGACAAUUAUGUUGAAGUUGUAAUGAGAA